rnacentral:rRNA from 1 species
GUUAAAAAGCUCGUAGUUGGAUCUCGGCGGGCAGGGGGUGGUUCGCUCUUCAGCGCUACUGCCCCGCUUUGCCCGUGUGAUUGGCGGAGGUUUCGGGGUGCUCUUCGUUGAGUGACUCGGAGCGCCGUCAGGUUUACUUUGAAAAAAUUAGAGUGCUCAAAGCAGGCUUUUCACGCUUGAAUAUUCGUGCAUGGAAUAAUGGGAUAGGAACUCGUUUCUAUUUUGUUGGUUUUCGGAAAUCGAGUUAAUGAUUAACAGGGACAAUUGGGGGCAUUAGUAUUCAGACGACAGAGGUGAAAUUCUUGGACCGUCUGAAGACUGACUACUGCGAAAGCAUUUGCCAAGAGUGUUUUCAUUAAUCAAGAACGAAAGUUAGAGGUUCGAAGGCGAUCAGAUACCGCCCUAGUUCUAACCAUAAACGAUGCCAGCUAGCGAUCUGCCGAGUUUUUUUUGUAGGCUCCGCAGGAAGCUUUCGGGGAACCAAAGCUUUUGGGUUCCGGGGGAAGUAUGGUUGCAAAGCUGAAACUUAAAGGAAUUGACGGAAGGGCACCACCAGGAGUGGAGCCUGCGGCUUAAUUUGACUCAACACGGGAAAUCUCACCAGGCCCGGACACUGGAAGGAUUGACAGAUUGAGAGCUCUUUCUCGAUUCGGUGGGUGGUGGUGCAUGGCCGUUCUUAGUUGGUGGAGUGAUUUGUCUGGUUAAUUCCGAUAACGAACGAGACUCUGUCCUGCUAAAUAGUUGGGUCGUCCUUCGUGCGAUCCAAGUUCUUCUUAGAGGGACUGGCUGCGUCUAGCAGCACGAGAUUGAGCAAUAACAGGUCUGUGAUGCCCUUAGAUG